UACGUAGGUGGCAAGCGUUGUCCGGAAUUACUGGGCGUAAAGCGCGCGUAGGCGGCUUUGCAAGUCGGGUGUGAAAUCCCCAGGCUUAACCUGGGAACUGCAUCCGAGACUGCAUUGCUAGAGUAUGGGAGAGGGAAGUGGAAUUUCAGGUGUAGCGGUGAAAUGCGUAGAUAUCUGAAGGAACAUCAGUGGCGAAAGCGACUUCCUGGACCAAUACUGAUGCUCAUGUGCGAAAGCGUGGGGAGCAAACAGG
rnacentral:rRNA from 1 species